CGAUAAAAAUACGAUUUAUAAAACAAAAAUCAAUGAAAGUCUAAAAAACGUAACGAAAAAAGCUUUUUUAAGGGUAAAAAAAAUCUUAACUUACAUCGAAGAUCGAAGGUUUUUAUUCUGUGCUUUUGGCAUGAAAAUCACAAAUAAAAUCAAAAAUAUUUUGAAUGGCAAAAUGAAUUCACUGGCAAAUUUUUAAAUAUUUAUAUUAUUUUUUGAUCUUGGUUUGCUUUCGUUAGUGGAGAAAAAGACAAAAUCAUGGACAACCAUAACUCUGGGAGUAACCCAGGAAGUGAUGAAGACCACUCAUUUUCUGAGCCAGAAACUGACUCUCCAGUUGAUAGUCCUAGGAAACCAAUAAAUACUUCAAAUGGGGCACUUAGACUUCGUUCAUGGUUAAAUAAAACAUUAAAGAUUAGAAUGACAGAUGGCCGAACACUUGUAGGGGUAUUUUUAUGUACUGAUAGAGAUGCUAAUGUAAUUCUAGGGUCAUGUUCAGAGUAUCUACCCCCAGAUUCUACUGUUUUCAAUGAAGAUACCAGAAUGCUAGGAUUAGUUAUGAUACCAGGAAAACACAUUAUUACAGUCCACAUUGAUAUGAAUGAAUUUCCACAUGAAGGUCGUCCUCAGGUUUCAGAGGCAUUUGAUUAUUUGUAAUAUUGAAAAACAAGUAAAUAUUAAUCUUAAUUAAAUAAUUUUUUAAUUUUAAUUGAAACUGUUUUAUAAAACUUUAAGUAUAUAAGUAUUAAAAUAC